GAAAAGAACUUUGAAAAGAGAGUCAAACAGUACGUGAAAUUGUUGAAAGGGAAACGAUUGAAGCCAGUCGUACCGACGGGAAUUCAACUUUUUGAGCGCUUGUCGUGGGUGAUGUAGAGCCUCACGGCCUUCGUUGCUUUGCGUUAUGGUGCUUUUAGGGUGUACUUUUCCGUAUGGUAGGUCAAUAUCGAUUUUUGUUGCGUCAUAAUGAUUGUAGGAAUGUGGCUCUUUCGGGAGUGUUAUAGCCUACUUUAGAUGGCGUGAUAAAGAUCGAGGAUUGCAGCGAAUGCCUUCAGGCUAUGGAUCUGUUCUGUGUCGAUCGUUAAUUGCACUUCAGCUUGCUGAGGGACAGUUGAUAGAUUUACAAUAGGAUAGAAUCUAAUAAAUUCGCUAAGGAUGU
rnacentral:rRNA from 1 species